UAACCCCGAGAAGCCUCCCAACGACAAUGGAUAUUCCGUUCAUUAGUUUGGUGGUCGUUGUUGAUUAAGUACUCCAUAUAUUUAAUAUUUUUAGAGAAUAAUUACCAUUCUUAUCUGAUGAUAGGAGGGAUAAGAAGAAAGAUAAAUAACAAACACAUCUAAGUAUUCCUAUAGUCUCGCGUCCAAGUAAACCAGGUGGCGCUGGCGCAUCCCCUCUCAGAUCCACCACCGCCAUGACUGCCGCCGCAUGCCUAGUCCAAUCUGCUACGAGGCAGUACGAAGCAAUGGCCAGAGUAUUGCCAGGGCGCAGGAAGCAAGAAGGGCGUGUUCCCCAUCUGCGGCUCGACCCGCCUCUUCUUCGAGUCCACCAGCAAGUGCCCCACGCAGGCCUCCCCCUCCCCUCCUUGUCGUAGGACAUCGACCCAGAUGCGCUCGCUGCCGGGGUCGUCCCAGUGGAGCGGAAGGCUUCAUCCCUUGGUCGGGUGCUCGACGAGCAGCGCAAUGGGAUCCAGAGGCUCAACGCCGAGGUCGUUAGAUGGGAGGGGAAUGGGAGGGGAAGGCGGCGGUGGAUACGAUGCGGGAGUGCAGCUAUUCCUCAAUACGAAAACAGAGGUUGAAUUCAGGUUGUAGUGAUAUUGGGGACGAGCAUUGCCGAGAAGUGCAAAGCCAGCCGUGUAGGAGUAGCAGGUAAUUAUCUAACUGAAUUCUUCACUUGACGAUUUUUGUUUGAGGUUUUUCAAUUUGAAAGUGAAGAUGCAAACAUGGACGCGGGUUUGUGGAGGUGAUGGCGCCAGUCUUGUGAAGGGAUACGGAGAUGUGUGUGCCACUGAUUUAGGUACUCUUUUCAGCAGAAAAUUGACAUUUUUUUACUUGCCUGAUCUAAAAGUGAGGACAAUGAGUUUGACUGCCGAUUAUUUUUAACUUGUACGUACAUGAUUGCCAUUAUAAAUGCUCAGUACAUGGUCCAUUGUGGAGUUCCCAUGCUCCAGGGCGAGGUAAUUGUAAGUUUUUUUUGUCAGCUCAAACUUCUGAAAAAUUGAUGCCCCUUGCUUGCUCUGUUUUUUGUAUGCUCACCAGUUAAAUCUCCUCUUCUCCUUGAGGGUGAAAAAGAAAAGCCAACAUGCUGUUUUGAAAAGCCAACAGUAGAGGAAAAUAAUAUUCAGUGUAGAUUUGUUGGGUAUACGUGUUAAAAAAUUAGCUGGGUGUACAACAACAACCAAAAAAGUUCAAUUUGUUUUGCUGAGAAAUAAAAUAACUCAAGUUUUGCUCGAAUUAGACAAGAAACAUUCCAAUUAAUCUUUUCUUAAAAGAGUUUGUCUUUGUCGGAUAAGGACUAUAGAAGAGUUCAAGUGCGAACUUGUUCCUUUCUGCUAUUAUCCUCUGUGCUGGUUCUUUUACAUGUACUGACUUAUAAAUCAUUUAUGUUUUUGUAGAACGGAUGGUCCACCAUAAAAGAAAAAUCACGAGGCAUUGUAGUCAUGGGUGAAGGAUCAUAAGGACAUGUGAUGGUGUCUCAUGAGUGAAGAGAAAAUAUUUACUGGUUGUGAUACAUUGGACUGACUUUCAUGAACUAACAUUUUUGUAGGGCUGAUGGUCCACCAUACUAUUAUAGAAGCACCAGGAGUGAUGAAAAUGAUAUUCAUUCAAACAACAAUUGUGUACCUCGAUUGAAGAUUAAUAGAUAUGAUAUUUUUUAGUUGUCUUGUUUUGUAUAUAGGCAUGAUGAAGUACGUUGGUCAUAUAAGGAGUGCGUUCGCCUCAAAUUUCUUGAAGGAUAUUUUAAUUUUAGAAUUGUAUGUCAGAAUAUUGACAUUUCUAUUAAUAAAAGAGGCUAUGAUCCUUUUCAUAUUACAUUA